GGGCCCUCCCGCGAGAAAUCAGGAGUAUUCGGGUUCCGGGGGGAGUAUGGUCGCAAGGCCGAAACUUAAAGGAAUUGACGGAAGGGCACCACCAGGAGUGGAAUCUGCGGCUUAAUUUGACCCAACGCGGGAAAACUCACCAGGUCAGGACACGGUAAGGAUUGACGGACUGAAGGCUCUUUCUCGAUUCCGUGGAAAGUGGUGCAUGGCGUUUUUGGUUGGUGGAUCGAUCCGUCUGGUUAAUUCCGUUAACGAACGAGACCUCGGCACUCCGAAUAGCGCGGCGGACGUCGCGGCCUCCGGGCCGUCUUCCGCACGAGCUUCUUAGAGGGACCGUCCCCCGCCGGGGAAGGAGGUGCGAGGCAACGACAGGUCUGUGAUGCCCUUAGAUGUUCUGGGCCGCACGCGCAUUACACUGACGCGUCCAACGGGUGACUCCCGACCCGAAGGGGCCGGGGAAUCCGCAAGGCGCGUCGUGAUGGGGAUUGAACGUUGCAAUUGUUGUUCACGAACGAGGAAUUCCUAGUAGGCGCGGGUCAUCAACCCGCGCCGAUUACGUCCCUGCCCUUUGUACACACCCG
rnacentral:rRNA from 1 species